rnacentral:tRNA from 1 species
GGGAUUGUCGAUUAACUGGCAAAUCAGUCGCUUUGCAUGCGACAGCUAUCGGUUCGAUUCCGAUCGAUUCCA